GACGAACGCUGGCGGCGUGCUUAACACAUGCAAGUCGAACGGAAAGGCCCUGCUUUUGUGGGGUGCUCGAGUGGCGAACGGGUGAGUAACACGUGAGUAACCUGCCCUUGACUUUGGGAUAACUUCAGGAAACUGGGGCUAAUACCGGAUAGGAGCUCCUGCUGCAUGGUGGGGGUUGGAAAGUUUCGGCGGUUGGGGAUGGACUCGCGGCUUAUCAGCUUGUUGGUGGGGUAGUGGCUUACCAAGGCUUUGACGGGUAGCCGGCCUGAGAGGGUGACCGGCCCACUUGGGACUGGGAUUCCGGCCCAAACCCUACCGGAGGGAACCGGGGGGAAAUAUUGAACAAGGGGCGAAGGCCGGAGGCGGCACGGCGGCGGGCGGAUGACGGCCUUCGGGUUGUAAACCGCUUUCGCCUGUGACGAAGCGUGAGUGACGGUAAUGGGUAAAGAGGCACCGGCUAACUACGUG
rnacentral:rRNA from 1 species